CCUACGGGUGGCAGCAGUGAGGAAUAUUGGUCAAUGGACGAGAGUCUGAACCAGCCAAGUAGCGUGAAGGAUGACUGCCCUAUGGGUUGUAAACUUCUUUUAUAUGGGAAUAAAACGUUCCACGUGUGGGAUUUUGUAUGUACCAUAUGAAUAAGGAUCGGCUAACUCCGUGCCAGCAGCCGCGGUAAUACGGAGGAUCCGAGCGUUAUCCGGAUUUAUUGGGUUUAAAGGGAGCGUAGGUGGAUUGUUAAGUCAGUUGUGAAAGUUCGCGGCUCAACCGUAAAAUUGCAGUUGAAACUGGCAGUCUUGAGUACAGUAGAGGUGGGCGGAAUUCGUGGUGUAGCGGUGAAAUGCUUAGAUAGCACGAAGAACUCCGAUUGCGAAGGCAGUUCACUGGACUGCAACUGACACUGAGGCUCGAAAGUGUGGGUAUCAAACAGGAUUAGAUACCCUAGUAGUC
rnacentral:rRNA from 1 species